rnacentral:rRNA from 1 species
CCCUUAGAUGUUCUGGGCCGCACGCGUGCUACACUGAGUGGAUCAGCGGGUCAGGUUGCGCGAAAGUGUUUCCUAAUCUUUAAAUCCGCUCGUGAUGGGGAUUGACGGUUGCAAUUUUCCGUCAUGAACGAGGAAUACCUUGUAAGCGCGGGUCAUCAUCCCGCGCUGAAUACGUCCCUGCCCUUUGUACACACCGCCCGUCGCUCCUACCGAUUGAGUGGUCCGGUGAGGCUUUGGGAUCUGAGCGGAAAGAGCGUUUCGCUGUUUCUGCUCGGAAAACUCAGUCGAACCUUAUCAUUUAGAGGAAGGAGAAGUCAUAACA